UCCUCCAUCAUCUCUCUAGUUCUUUAAGACAGUAAAGAGGGUAACGCCGUGUCCUCUUCCUCUCAUUUUUUUUUCUCUCGUUCAUUUUUUUUUCUUCGAACCUCCUCCACCGUCUCCGCUCGCACCCUCUUCCUCUCUUUUUUUUUCUCUUCACCCUUGCCCACACACUCCCCCCGGCCUUCCUCACCUCCAACCAUGCCAAUGCUGCGCCGCGACCUUUUUUUUUUCCUCUCCGACCCUCCUCCAUCGCCUCUCCGGUUCUUUAUGACAAUAAAGAGGGUAACGUCGCGUCCUCUUCCUCUCCUUUUUUUCUCUCGUUCUUUUUUUUUUUCUCUUCGACCCCCUCCAUCGCCUCCGCGACCCUCUACGACAGUAACGAAGACAAUGUUCACGUCCUCUUACACCGCCUUCGUCGGCGCAGACAUCGACACCGGCGCC
rnacentral:lncRNA from 1 species